rnacentral:lncRNA from 1 species
AGGUGGAGUUUCAAGUUUCGAACAGAGAAGAAGUUUCCGUGGCCGUCGCACUGAAAUCUCCUCCUCGCCAGACUUCCAGGAGCCUCAUCCCCCGGCCCCCUGCAGGCCACCUGCUCACCUGGGAAGCUCCACGUCCUUAUCUCUUCCUCCUCCAUCCAUGGCUCCUUCCCCUGCUCCAAACUGGAGAUCACAGCUGGUUUGCUGACUUGACACCCUCUUGGGGAGAAACGGUUAAAGGAUUUGUGCUGAGCCAGCUGGGCCUUCCAAGCAAGCAGACAGUUCAGCCUGCAAAACAAAAGGUGGACAUCUCAGCCACAGAGAGCUGUUUCGCUUGGCAGGUAACUUCACGAGGACUCCAAGUGGGAUCGAGACUCUGACCACUGAAACCCAAGGCCAAGCACUUUUAUUUUUCACACAGGGUCUUGCUCUGUUGCCCAGGCUGGAGUGAAGUGGCACAAUCACAGCUCACUGCAGCCUCAACCUCCUGCACUCAAGUGAUCCUCCCAUCUCAGCCUCCCGAGUAGCUGGGACUACAGGCAGGCAUCACCACCCUCAACUAAUUUUUUAAUGUUUUGGUAGAGAUGGGGUUUUGCCAUGUUGCCCAGGCAAGUCUUGAACUUGGGCCUCAAGGGAUCCUUCCAUUUGAGACUCGCAAGUAGCUGGGACUGCAGGCACAUGCCACCAUGCCUGGCUAAUUUUUUAUUUUUCGUUUGUAUAGAUCGGGUCUUGCACCUGUGGCUCAAGCAAUCCUCCCACCUCGGCCUCCUGAAGUGCUGGGAUCACAGGCAUGAGCCACCAUGCCCAGCUUAGCACUUUCAGUGCGUGAGCAGUUUCCCAGUUUUAUACAACUAAGAAAAAGAGUUCAUGUAACCCGAGGACCACGGGGAAGUCUUCCUCACCCACAGAGAGCAGGUGGCUGUAGUUCUCCAGCAUCACAUCCUGGUACAGGGUCCUCUGCUCCAGGUCCAGCUGCUGCCACUCUUUCCGGGUGAAGCCCACAGCCACGUCCCCGAAUGACAGUGACCCCUGGAACAGCACAUGGCUGAUUAAUGUGGAGUGGUUGGCACUGGGUACCAUGGCAAAGGCGUAGAGGAGAUUGAUCUUACCCCCUUCCGAGGUCAGCUUUCCCCAUAUUAGGUUACAUAGAAAGCUGAGCACACCCCUAACUUUGUACUACACUUUGUGGAAGAGAAAAAAAAAAUUGUUAGAAAAAAUAUCAACCGGGUGCAGUGGCUCACGCCUGUAAUCCCAGCACUUUGAGGGGCUGAGACAGGUGGAUUGCUUGAGGUUAGGAGUUUGAGACCAGCGUGGCCAACAUGGUGAAACCCCAUCUCUACAAAAAAUAUAUUAGAUGGACGUGCUGGUGGGUGCCUGUAAUCCCAGCUACCAGGGAGGCUCAGGCAGGAGAAUUGCUUCAACCCAGGAGGCGUAGCUUGCAGUGAGCUGAGAUCCCGCCCUUGCACCCCAGGCUGUACAACAGAGUGAGACUCCAUCUCAAAAAUAAAUAAAUAAAUCUCACUACUGGAUCUCCAUUCAUUCCUUCAAUGAUCAAGUGUCUUUCAGGGACCUCGCACACUGCUGGUGUUCUACCAGGCGCUUGGGGUCGAGGGCUGAACACAAAAUUGUUCCUGUUCUGAAGGUAGUUAGGAGUGUUGCUGCCAGAUGAACACAGGAAGACAGCUGUACCGUAAGAUUACACUAUAGGCGGUGGUAGACAUGUAGUUACAUACAGAAUGGGCACGAGGAAGACAGCAGCCAGAUCCAAC